rnacentral:tRNA from 1 species
GCUAGUGUGGCUCAGUUGGUAGAGCGGCUGAUUCGUAAUCAGCAGGCCGGCGGUUCAAUCCCGCCCAUUAGCUCCA